rnacentral:rRNA from 1 species
ACUUUAUGUUUUUUUGAAUAUUUUUUGUUAUUAAAUAAAAAGUUGUUUUAAUUAAAUAAAAUAUUAUAAAUUUUAGUAUUUAAAAAAUUAUUUUGAUUAAUUAAAGUAUAGUGUAUAAAAAUAGAUUUAUAAAUAAAUAAAAAGAAUAAAAAUUUAAUUUUGUACCUUUUGUAUCAGGGUUUAAUAAAAAUUAUUUAUAUAAAUUAUUCUCGAAUAAUUAAGAUUUAAUUUUUUAUAAUUUUAAAUGUUGAAAAAUUUAAUUUAAUAAAAAAUUGGUAAUGAAAAGUUAAUCGUUUAGUUAGGAUUCUAGUUUUUAAAUAAAUUAAUUUAAUUAAGCUUUAAAUAUUUAUUAUAAUUUUUUUAUUUUUAUGUAUUUAAAUGUAAAUUAUAAAGAGUUUAUUUUUUAUAAUUUUUAUAUCAUUAAUUAUAUUUAAUUUUUUCUAGAUUUAAAAUUUAUAAAAUGAUUAAUAGUUUUUUUUAAAAAAUGAUUAUAAAAAUUUUAUUUAUUUUUGAUUAAAUUUUUAUUUAAAUAAAAAUUUUAGUUAGUUAAAUUGUUUAAUAAUAUUAAAAUUAGUAAAUUUUUUUAUAAUUUAAAAAUAGUAAUUCGGCAAAUUAAUUUUUCGCCUGUUUAUCAAAAACAUGUCUUUAAGGUUUUAUUUAAAGUCCAAUCUGCUCACUGAAUUUUAAAGAGCCGCAGUAUUUUAACUGUGCAAAGGUAGCAUAAUAAAUAGUUUUUUAAUUGAAAGCUGGAAUGAAAGAUUAGACGAGAAAAUAACUUUCUUUUUUUAAAUAAAUUGAACUUAAAGUUUAAGUUAAAAUUCUUAAAUUUAUUUAAAAGACGAGAAGACCCUAUAGAUUUUUAUUUAUAUAAAAUUUUUAUAUAACUAAAAAUUUUUAUUAAAUUUAAUUGGGGCGAUUCUGUAAAAUAAAAAACUUAAUAAUUUAAAACCAUAAAUAAUUGAAUAUUUUGAUCUAAAAUUUUUAAUUUAUAGAUUAAAUUACCUUAGGGAUAACAGCGUAAUUUUAUUUGAGAGUUCAUAUCUAUAAUAAAGUUUGCGACCUCGAUGUUGAAUUAAGAAAAAUAUAUGAGUAGAAAUUUAUAAUUUUUAGUCUGUUCGACUAUUAAAUUCUUACAUGAUUUGAGUUCAGACCGGCGUGAGCCAGGUCAGUUUCUAUCUUUAAAAUAUUUUUGUAGGUAAGUACGAAAGGACAAUUUACAAAUAAAAAUUUAUUUGUUAAU